rnacentral:piRNA from 2 species
UGACCUUGAACUUGUGAUUGAAGAAGAGUC